rnacentral:rRNA from 1 species
UACGAAGGGGGCUAGCGUUGUUCGGAAUUACUGGGCGUAAAGGGCUCGUAGGCGGCCAACUAAGUCGGACGUGAAAUCCCCAGGCUCAACCUGGGAACUGCGUCUGAUACUGGAUGGCUUGAAUCCGGGAGAGGGAUGCAGAAUUCCAGGUGUAGCGGUGAAAUGCGUAGAUAUCUGGAGGAAUACCGGUGGCGAAGGCGGCAUCCUGGACCGGUUCUGACACUGAGGAGCGAAAGCGUGGGGAGCGAUCCGG